CGCAUCUGUGCAUGCAGCAUAUCAAUAAGCGGAGGAAAAGUCAAUACCUACGCUUAGGAUGUUGACACACGCGCGUGCUCGACUCUAUACAUGACUCUGUGCAUAUCAAUAAGCGGAGGAAAAGUCAAUACCUACGCUUAGGAUGUUGACACACGCGCGUGCUCGAUGAUAGUCUAUACAUGACUCUGUGCAUAUCAAUAAGCGGAGGAAAAGGUACCUACGCUUAGGAUGUUGACACACGCGCGUGCUCGACUCUACACAUGACUCUGUGCAUGCCAUAUCAAUAAGCGGAGGAAAAGAAACUAACAAGGAUUCCCUUAGUAACGGCGAGUGAAGCGGGAAGAGCUCAAAUUUGAAAUCUUCAAGGUUUUACCUUGGACGAAUUGUAGUUUAAAGAAGUGUUUUCUGUUGAAGUUUUGGUAAAAGUUCUUUGGAAUAGGACAUCAUAGAGGGUGAGAAUCCCGUAUUUGACCAUUAUUUUCAGCUGUGUGAUACACUUUCAAAGAGUCGGAUUGUUUGGGAAUGCAGUUCAAAAUGGGUGGUAAAUUUCAUCUAAAGCUAAAUAUUGGCGAGAGACCGAUAGCGAACAAGUACCGUGAGGGAAGGAUGAAAAGAACUUUGAAAAGAGAGUUAAACAGUACUGUGAAAUUGUCAAAAGGGAAGCGUUUGACACCAGUGUUGUUUUCUCGAAAAUCAAUUAAAAAGAGUUAGAUUUUGUUGUGUAUUGACCUUAACAGCUUGCAUUUCAAUUUUCUUGCUUUUUUUAAUGCACUUUUCGUUUAACAAGUCAACAUCAGUUUCUUUUGUUGUAAAAAGGUCAUUGGAAGGUGGCUUUCUUUUCGGAGAAAGUGUUUAUAGCCUUUGACUCCUGCAAUCGGAGAGACUGAGGUCUGCAGCGUAGAUCCUUCGGGGUUAGAUACAUUUGUGCUAAGUUAUAGCUUUUUAUAAACAACUUGUUGACUAUGAUUAGUCUUGUAGCUUACUCGCUUAUGCUAUUUUACCUACGCUUAGGAUGUUGACACACGCGCGUGCUCG
rnacentral:rRNA from 1 species